rnacentral:rRNA from 1 species
CCUACGGGAGGCAGCAGUGAGGAAUAUUGGUCAAUGGCCGGAAGCCUGAACCAGCCAAGCCGCGUGAAGGACGAAGGUGCCAAGCAUUGUAAACUUCUUUUGUCAAGGGACAAAAUCAGGCUCGAGAGCCUGACAGAGGGUACUUGCAGAAAAAGCAUCGGCUAACUCCGUGCCAGCAGCCGCGGUAAUACGGAGGAUGCAAGCGUUAUCCGGAUUUCUUGGGUUUAAAGGGUGCGUAGGCGGGCUGUUAAGUCAGCGGUAAAAGCCCGGGGCUAAACCCCGGCGAGCCGUGGAAACUGGCGGUCUUGAGUGGGCGAGAGGUAUGCGGAAUGCGUGGUGUAGCGGUGAAAUGCGUAGAUAUCACGCAGAACACCGAUUGCGAAGGCAGCAUACCGGCGCCCGACUGACGCUGAGGCACGAAAGCGUGGGGAUCGAACAGGAUUAGAUACCCUAGUAGUC